GCCUGGGAAUGAUGACAUAAAAGGCCGAAUUGCAGUGCUUUUCUGAGCAGUCUAUUCUCUACAGGAAGGCAUAAUGACAAAUCCCCUUGAAGCGAAAACACAACUGACCCUGGC